CAGUGGGGAAUAUUGCACAAUGGGCGCAAGCCUGAUGCAGCCAUGCCGCGUGUAUGAAGAAGGCCUUCGGGUUGUAAAGUACUUUCAGCAGUGAGGAAGGUGGUAGUGUUAAUAGCACUAUCAUUUGACGUUAGCUGCAGAAGAAGCACCGGCUAACUCCGUGCCAGCAGCCGCGGUAAUACGGAGGGUGCGAGCGUUAAUCGGAAUUACUGGGCGUAAAGCGCAUGCAGGUGGUUUGUUAAGUCAGAUGUGAAAGCCCGGGGCUCAACCUCGGAAUUGCAUUUGAAACUGGCAGACUAGAGUACUGUAGAGGGGGGUAGAAUUUCAGGUGUAGCGGUGAAAUGCGUAGAGAUCUGAAGGAAUACCGGUGGCGAAGGCGGCCCCCUGGACAGAUACUGACACUCAGAUGCGAAAGCGUGGGGAGCAAACAGGAUUAGAUACCCUGGUAGUCCACGCCGUAAACGAUGUCUACUUGGAGGUUGUGGCCUUGAGCCGUGGCUUUCGGAGCUAACGCGUUAAGUAGACCGCCUGGGGAGUACGGUCGCAAGAUUAAAACUCAAAUGAAUUGACGGGGGCCCGCACAAGCGGUGGAGCAUGUGGUUUAAUUCGAUGCAACGCGAAGAACCUUACCUACUCUUGACAUCCAGAGAACUUUCCAGAGAUGGAUUGGUGCCUUCGGGAACUCUGAGACAGGUGCUGCAUGGCUGUCGUCAGCUCGUGUUGUGAAAUGUUGGGUUAAGUCCCGCAACGAGCGCAACCCUUAUCCUUGUUUGCCAGCGAGUAAUGUCGGGAACUCCAGGGAGACUGCCGGUGAUAAACCGGAGGAAGGUGGGGACGACGUCAAGUCAUCAUGGCCCUUACGAGUAGGGCUACACACGUGCUACAAUGGCGCAUACAGAGGGCAGCCAACUUGCGAAAGUGAGCGAAUCCCAAAAAGUGCGUCGUAGUCCGGAUUGGAGUCUGCAACUCGACUCCAUGAAGUCGGAAUCGCUAGUAAUCGUGGAUCAGAAUGCCACGGUGAAUACGUUCCCGGGCCUUGUACACACCGCCCGUCACACCAUGGGAGUGGGCUGCAAAAGAAGUAGGUAGUUUAACCUUCGGGGGGACGCUUACCACUUUGUGGUUCAUGACUGGGGUGAAGUCGUAACAAGGUAGCGCUAGGGGAACCUGGCGCUGGAUCACCUCCUUAAACGAUGAU
rnacentral:rRNA from 1 species